AUUGAACGCUGGCGGCAGGCCUAACACAUGCAAGUCGAGCGGAGCGGCGGACGGGUGAGUAAUGCCUAGGAAUCUGCCUGGUAGUGGGGGAUAACGUCCGGAAACGGGCGCUAAUACCGCAUCUUAUCAGAUGAGCCUAGGUCGGUUUGGCUAGUUGGGGGGGUAAAGGCCUACCAAGGCGACGAUCCGUAACUGGUCUGAGAGGAGGAUCAGUCACACUGGAACUGAGGACAGGUCCAGACUCCUACGGGAGGCAGCAGUGGGAAAUAUUGGAGAAUGGGCGAAAGCCUGAUCCAGCCAUGCCGCGUGUGUGAAGAAGGUCUUCGGAUUGUAAGGCACUUUAAGUUGGGAGGCGUUACCAACAGAAUAAGCACCGGCUAACUUCGUGCCAGCAGCCGCGGUAAUAC
rnacentral:rRNA from 1 species